rnacentral:rRNA from 1 species
UACGUAGGGUGCAAGCGUUGUCCGGAAUUAUUGGGCGUAAAGAGCUCGUAGGCGGUUAUGUAAGACAGUUGUGAAAUCCCCGGGCUCAACCUGGGGAAUUGCAUCUGUGACUGCAUAGCUAGAGUACGGUAGAGGGGGAUGGAAUUCCGCGUGUAGCAGUGAAAUGCGUAGAUAUGACGGAGGAACACCGAUGGCGAAGGCAGCUCCCUGGAUUAACACUGACGCUCAUGCACGAAAAGCGUGGGGAGCAAACAGG